rnacentral:rRNA from 1 species
AGUGAACGCUGGCGGUAGGCCUAACACAUGCAAGUCGAACGGCAGCGCAGUAAGAGCUUGCUCUUACGGGUGGCGAGUGGCGGACGGGUGAGGAAUACAUCGGAAUCUACUUUUUCGUGGGGGAUAACGUAGGGAAACUUACGCUAAUACCGCAUACGACCUACGGGUGAAAGCAGGGGAUCUUCGGACCUUGCGCGAUUGAAUGAGCCGAUGUCGGAUUAGCUAGUUGGCGGGGUAGAGGCCCACCAAGGCGACGAUCCGUAGCUGGUCUGAGAGGAUGAUCAGCCACACUGGAACUGAGACACGGUCCAGACUCCUACGGGAGGCAGCAGUGGGGAAUAUUGGACAAUGGGCGCAAGCCUGAUCCAGCCAUACCGCGUGGGUGAAGAAGGCCUUCGGGUUGUAAAGCCCUUUUGUUGGGAAAGAAAAGCAGCAGGUUAAUACCCCGCUGUUCUGACGGUACCCAAAGAAUAAGCACCGGCUAACUUCGUG